rnacentral:rRNA from 1 species
GUGUCAGCAGCCGCGGUAAGACAGAGGGUGCAAACGUUGCUCGGAUUUACUGGGCGUAAAGCGCGUGUAGGCGGGAAGAUAAGUCGGGUGUGAAAUCCCUGGGCUCAACCUAGGAACUGCAUCCGAAACUGUUUUUCUAGAGUGGUGGAGAGGAGAGCGGAAUUCCCGGUGUAGAGGUGAAAUUCGUAGAUAUCGGGAGGAACAUCGGUGGCGAAGGCGGCUCUCUGGACACUUACUGACGCUGAGACGCGAAAGCGUGGGGAGCAAACAGGAUUAGAUACCCUCGUAGUCC